UACAGAGGGUGCAAGCGUUAAUCGGAAUUACUGGGCGUAAAGCGUGCGUAGACGGUUAUGUAAGUCGGGUGUGAAAGCCCCGGGCUCAACCUGGGGAAUUGCAUUCGAGACUGUGUAGCUAGGGUACGGAAGAGGGAAGCGGAAUUUCAGGUGUAGCGGUGAAAUGCGUAGAUAUCUGAAGGAACACCAGUGGCGAAAGCGGCUUCCUGGUCCAGUACCGACGUCAGCACGAAAGC
rnacentral:rRNA from 1 species